rnacentral:rRNA from 1 species
GUGGGGAAUAUUGGACAAUGGGGGGAACCCUGGUCCAGCCAUGCCGCGUGUGUGAAGAAGGCCUUUUGGUUGUAAAGCACUUUAAGCGAGGAGGAGGCUACCGAGAUUAAUACUCUUGGAUAGUGGACGUUACUCGCAGAAUAAGCACCGGCUAACUCUGUGCCAGCAGCCGCGGUAAUACAGAGGGUGCAAGCGUUAAUCGGAUUUACUGGGCGUAAAGCGCGCGUAGGUGGCCAAUUAAGUCAAAUGUGAAAUCCCCGAGCUUAACUUGGGAAUUGCAUUCGAUACUGGUUGGCUAGAGUAUGGGAGAGGAUGGUAGAAUUCCAGGUGUAGCGGUGAAAUGCGUAGAGAUCUGGAGGAAUACCGAUGGCGAAGGCAGCCAUCUGGCCUAAUACUGACACUGAGGUGCGAAAGCAUGGGGAGCAAACAGGAUUAGAAACCCGGGUAGUCC